UUUAUAGCGUUUAUUGAGAACCAGUGUUCAAUAUCAUAUUAAGCAGAGUUUUGUGACUGCCUUGUAAACUUAAGGCUAGUGAGACCCUCUACAGAAUGAAGGCAGUGAGGGGGUCAAAACAAUCUCUGCAAAAUGUGUCACUUUGGUAUGUGGAGCAUUUUGAGCUGAAGACAAUCAAGACCCAGAAGAUUCAAGGAAAACUUUUACCUCUCCCUGAACUGACUAAAAGAAUUUAGAUAGAGAGACUGGUCCAGGGGGAGAGCCAUCACCAGAGAUAACUACAAAGAACACAGGCUUGGUGUAACAAGCUGCAGAGAGUUCAGCUGAGCUUGGAGAUCAAAUUCCUCUCUGUGUCUACUGUCAUCACAUGACAUGGCAACCAUCCACUCACCAAACAUCUACUCUUCCCAUCCUCCUAUGAAUUAUCUUCCUCCCCUUCGAAGUUCCAGAUCCCUACCCCCUUCUCCUGAGCUCAGAAUGAUAGAUAAGCCUCAACUGCCUGAGUGACUGUGGGUCUUGUCUUCUUAUAGGGACCCCAUAAGUAGUAACUAAAAUUGUUUUUUCUCCUAAUAAUCCAUCCUAUAUGUUAAUUUGCUUAUUAGAAUAUCUAAGAACCAAGAAAGGUAAAGAAAAAAUUUCCCUCCCCUACAGUAUACAUACAGAUAAAAGAUAAAUCUCAAUUUUCUUGACAAUUCUACCAAUUCUACCAAACCUAUUAUCCCAUUUUUCUGUAAGAGAAUGAGUAACAAAAUAAAUAUUUCUAAUGAUUAAAUAAUAACAGUGGGGAGUUAUUUUAAUAAAUAAUGUGAAAUAAAAUCUUUAAGUAUAAGAAAUAUAAAAUUCUAUCCAUUAAUGUUAGCCAUACAGCUAUACUUUCAGCCAAAAAAGAGAUUUUUUGGUUGUAGAUGAUAUCUGAGGUAGCUUUCACUCUUUUCCAAAGAUUUCAGAAUCUUCCAAUUCCAUUCUAAUUUUACUGUCUUUUCAUGUAGAAAAAUAAGAAUAUUGGUUUUCUUGGAAUUUUAAGGUUUAUGGAAUUUUAAUUCAGUGCAAAGAGAAAGCUGAGAUUUCACUUAUAUCACUGAAAUUCUGAUAAGUAGAUCUGCUAACUCAUGAAAGUAGAAAAAUGACACUCAUUCAUUUCAGAGUCACUUGCUUAUCUGACAUGGUUGAACAUUUAUCACUUUAGAUAAUGUUGUAAAAGGAAUUCUUAAUAUACCCUCCCAGUGUCUCUCAAGUGUUGUAUGAAUCUGCGCUGUUCACAGCAUGGUGUCCACUUCUGCUGAACAUUCUUAUAAAUGGACUCUAGACCAUCCUGACUCUAGUUCAUGGGUUGUGGGUUCAAGUAUACCUAGAAUUUAGUACAUGCUCUGUUAUCAACUAGCUGUGUGACCUUGGAUAUGGCAAUUUCUCCAUGCUGGAGUUUCAUCCUCUAUCAAAAAAAAAAAAAAAAGAAAAAAGAAAAAAAGAAAUGUCAUGUACAGAUAACAUUACCUACCAUCCAGAGUAAUUGUGACGUUUAAAUGUAUAUUUGAUAAAGAUAGCACAUAUAACACCUUAUCUUCUGCUGAAAUACCAUGAAAAGACAGAAAAUACAACUUUCCAAAUAUUCAAAAAUAAUCUGAAAACAAAGAGUUUAAUUGGUAACCCCAGAAUUUUGAACAACUCUGAAAAACAGAAAGCUCUCAGGGCUCAGCUGUUGUGCAAGUACAAUGUGAAGGAACACCAAGAGGUAGCAGAUGGAAGGAACAGGGAAGGUCCUGAGGAAAAAUUCCUCCUCUCUUUCCCAUGAAAAUACUUGAGAAGGUUCAUGGAGAAAAAUUUCAAAAACAGUUUACUUUGUAACAACGCUCUCUUUUGGGAUACACUGCAUUGUGAUCUAACCUUGCACAAGAGCAUUUGAGAACCUUUUAAAUGUCUGACACAUUUCACGGCACAUAAUAGAGAUGUAAAACACACUUCUUGAUAGACGGAAACACUCCCAUUAACACUGUACUAGCAAAAAGUAGCCCUAAUUUUUCUACUGCUAUUAAAACACCACUGCUAUUAAAAUUACCUAAAAAUGUUAAGAUUCAUGUUAACCCUUUUAUGGACAACGGAAAACAAUUUAAAAAUGUGAAACAUAUGGAAGAUUCAUAUUCUAUUUAUCAGUCUUACACCUACUUCUAUUUUUUAAGUAAAAAUUAUAAAAAAAUAAAUAAAAUAAAAUAAAAAAUAAAAAAAUAAAAAUUAAAAAAAAAAUUAGUUUCUAGUGAUCACCUGAUUUAAAUACCAAA
rnacentral:lncRNA from 1 species